rnacentral:lncRNA from 1 species
AUGAACCAUAUCCAAGUUCAUGAACCAAAUCCAUACACCAAACCCAUGAACCAUAUCCAAGUUCAUGAACUAAAUCCAUACACCAAACCCAUGAACCAUAUCCAAGUUCAUAAACCAAAUCCAUACACCAAACUCAUGAACCAUAUCAAAGUUCAUGAACCAAAUCCAUACACCAAAUUCAUGAACCAUAUCCAAAUUUAUGAACCAAGUCCAUACACCAAAUUCAUGAACCAUAUCCAAAUUCAUGAACCAUAUCUCAUGAGCCAAUACUCAAAUCUCAUGAACAAAUACCCAAAUCUUAUCGUGAACCUUUUAUUACUCUGGCACAUAUACCUAAAGUAAAAAUUAAAUAUCGACUACCCCUAAUACAUAUACUUAGGGCUAUGUCAAUCGCCUUGGCACAUAUAACUAAGGCAAAACAUCUCCAAAUCGACAGAAUUCUAAAUCAUACACUUAGAAUUCAGUCAAAUGAUAUCAAGUUUAUUCGAACUCUAACAUAUAUACUUAGAGUUCAUCCGACUAACCGUAACACAUAUACUUAGGGUCUAGUCAGUCUUUUGCUCUAGCACAUAUAUCUAGAGUGGAAGUCAAACCGUGGUCGACUAACCCUAACCCAUAUACUUAGGGUCUAGUCAGUCUUUUGCUCUAGCACAUAUACCUAGAGUAGAAGUCAAACUGUCACGCCCCGGAUUACACGUUCCCCGGGCACGCCGACAGAUCCGCCGUAUACAAAGAAAUUUUCCCUGUAUACGAAGCGAUAGCUGUACCUGUAAAUCAAACACUACUACGAACAGUAGUAGAGAGCUGCUAGAAAAAAACUGAAGCUAAAUAAAACAGAGUUUCAUAUACAUAGUUC